UACGUAGGGACCAAGCGUUGUCCGGAAUCAUUGGGCGUAAAGAGCGUGUAGGCGGCUUGUUAAGUCUUGCGUGAAAUCUCGGGGCUCAACCCCGAGCGGUCGUGAGAAACUGGCAGGCUAGAGUGCGGGAGAGGAGAGUGGAAUUCCUGGUGUAGCGGUGAAAUGCGCAGAUAUCAGGAGGAACACCAAUGGCGAAGGCAGCUCACUGGGACGGUAUUGACGCUGAGACGCGAAAGCGUGGGGAGCAAACAGG
rnacentral:rRNA from 1 species